rnacentral:rRNA from 1 species
UACGAGGGGGGCGAGCGUUGUUCGGAAUUAUUGGGCGUAAAGGGCGCGUAGGCGGUGCGGUAAGUCACCUGUGAAACCUCUAGGCUUAACCUAGAGCCUGCAGGCGAAACUGCCGUGCUGGAGUGUGGGAGAGGUGCGUGGAAUUCCCGGUGUAGCGGUGAAAUGCGUAGAUAUCUGGAGGAAUACCGGUGGCGAAGGCGGCAUCCUGGACCGACAUUGACGCUGAACGGCGAAAGCUAGGGGAGCAAACGGG